rnacentral:lncRNA from 1 species
GAAGCGACAAUCACUGAUGGCCGGCAUGAUUUAACUAAAAACUUAGCGUCUGAGUUGAAUUUGGAAAGAGAAGCCACGUGACUUUGAUGUGAAAUUCAAGUACAAGUGGAGCCUUAAAAUGAGCGCGUGCAACUCCAACACGUGGAUCCAAAUCCACAUUUCACCCUCCUGCCACGUAGGAUUUUUAUCUUCAAUAAAUUGUGCCUGCAUUGGAGGAGCUACAUGCAGAACUGCAAUUUCAGCUUCAAAAUGGGAAACAUGGGUAGAAGAUUUUCCAAGUUCAGGAGAAUGGCAAGGCAACAAAGAGGGAAGUUUUACAUUAUGAGAGUCUGUAUCUCUAUGCUUCUAAAUUGGCAUAAGUACUCUUAGCCCCCCACAGAUACUUCUUUUCUGCUGCUUUCAUCUUACACAUUAGCAUUCAAUGAAAUUGUCUAGUUAAUAGUUAUCAUCUAUGGAGUGUAAUUCUUUUUUUCUGUCUCAAAAUAAUCUCAUUCCAGUGGUUAACAGUAAAUGAAUACAAGUCAAUGUCCUUCUUAAAGCUUUUACAUGUACGCUUAGAAUCUACCAGGUUACUUAUUUUGGUUAUGUUUUGUACGUAAAUACAAAAAAAUGAUAUCAAAUUUUCACUCCUACACUGUUACACGAUCAGUUAAAAAGCUGAUAAUCAAUCAGAACAUUCUGUUGCGUGAAAGGCAUCGUGUUAUUUUCCACCAGUAAUGUGUGCAACAUAUGAGGUGCUAAUUAAAAC